UGCGUUAUCUCCUAGUUAAUUUCCACUUUCCAGCAUCCUCAAACCUUUGCCUUUUGAGGAAUAUCGUUUGAAUAGCGUCCACAAAAUUAAAAAUUUGUUCUUGCGUAUUAAUUUUUUUUAAGCCCCUACCCCUCUCCAUACUCUUUCUACCCUGAACUGUCAAGCUUGGCAUUCAAACCUCUCACCUGAGAACAAGAUGUUGUUGCUUAUUACAUU
rnacentral:lncRNA from 1 species